rnacentral:rRNA from 1 species
UUAAAAAGCUCGUAGUUGGAUUUCUGCGUGAGCGGGGCGGUCGUCUUCAUAUUGAAGAAUGAACCAGCCAAGCCUACGCAUCCGAUCGGAAGCCGUGCUACCAUUAGUUUGGUGGCGCGAGUGAACGAUCCGUUUACUUUGAGAAAAAUAGAGUGUUCAAAGCAGGCCAAUGCCUUGAAUAAUUUAGCAUGGAAUAAUGAUAAAGGACUACGGUUCUAUUUUGUUGGUGUUCGGGACUGAAGUAAUGAUUGAUAGGGACAGUUGGGGGCGUCAGUAUUCCAAAGCGAGAGGUGAAAUUCUUAGACCUUCGGAAGACUAACCGCUGCGAAAGCGUUCGCCAAGGAUGUUCCCUUUGAUCAAGAACGAAAGUUGGGGGAUCGAAGACGAUCAGAUACCGUCGUAGUCUCAACUAUAAACUAUACCAGCUAGGGAUUGGCCAAUGUUGUUUAAUUAAGACUUGGUCAGCACCUUAUGAGAAAUCAAAGCAUCUGGGUUCCGGGGGGAGUAUGGUCGCAAGGCUGAAACUUAAAGGAAUUGACGGAAGGGCACCACCAGGCGUGGAGCCUGUGGCUUAAUUUGACUCAACACGGGAAAACUUACCAGGUCCAGACAUAGUAAGGAUUGACAGAUUGAUAGCUCU